GAUGAACGCUGGCGGCAUGCCUAAGACAUGCAAGUCGUACGAGGUGGCCUUCUGAAGUUUGAGUGCUUGCACAAAGAUGAACGAAGAUUUUCCACCUAGUGGCGGACGGGUGAGUAACACGUGGGUAAUCUACCUUCGAGUCUGGAAUAACAGUUGGAAACGACUGCUAAUACCGGAUUAUAUAACAAUGGUAAGUGUUGUUAUUAAAAGAGGCCUUUAAAGCCUUGCUUGAAGAUGAGCCUGCGGACGAUUAGAUUGUUGGUGGGGUAAUGGCCUACCAAGUCGACGAUCGUUAGCCGAACUGAGAGGUUGAUCGGCCACACUGGGACUGAGACACGGCCCAGACUCCUACGGGAGACAGCAGUUAGGAAUAUUCGUCAAUGGGGGAAACCCUGAACGAGCAAUGCCGCGUGAAUGAUGACGGCCUUAUGGGUUGUAAAAUUCUGUGGAUAGGGAAGAACAUCUGGAAUAGGAAAUGAUUCCAGCCUGACGGUACCUAUCUAGAAAGCUCCGGCUAACUACGUGCCAGCCGCCGC
rnacentral:rRNA from 1 species